rnacentral:rRNA from 1 species
AUUGAACGCUGGCGGCACGCUUAACACAUGCAAGUCGAGCGGCGGCGCGGGUAGUAGCAAUACUAUCUGGCGGCGAGCGGCGGACGGGUGAGUAAUGCGUAGGAACCUGCCCAGAAGAGGGGGAUAACCAAGGGAAACUUUGGCUAAUACCGCGUAAUCUCGGAAGAGAAAAGCUGCAGCGAUGUAGCGCUUUUGGAGGGGCCUGCGUCCGAUUAGCUAGUUGGUGAGGUAAUGGCUCACCAAGGCGGUGAUCGGUAACUGGUCUGAGAGGACGACCAGUCAGACUGGGACUGAGACACGGGCCAGACUCCUACGGGAGGCAGCAGUGGGGAAUCUUGGACAAUGGGGCAACCCUGAUCCAGCGAUGCCGCGUGGGUGAAGAAGGCCUUCGGGUUGUAAAGCCCUUUAGGUUAGGAAGAAGCUGCGGAGAGGAAAUGCUCUGUAGUUGACGGUACUAACAGAAUAAGCACCGGCAAACUCUGUGCCAGCAGCCGCCGUAAGAC